ACGACUCACUCGGUUUUGAUAUCUUAGAUUGGUGGAGAAUUAAUGCCGUUAACUAUCCUGUCCUUGCUGAGGUAGCACGUGAUGUGUUAGCCACCCCCAUUUUCACUGUUGCCUCGGAGUCCGCAUUUAGUAUUGGAGGAUGCAUAUUGGAUCCUUUUAGGAGUUCCUUGUCUCCAGAGACUGUUGAAGCUCUCAUUUGCACUCAAAAUUGGUUAAGGACCAAACCAAUUAACAUUCGGGAUUUGGAAGAAUACAUACAGUCGAUAGACCUUGAAGACGAUCAUCUAGCUUCAUCUUCAACCGAGACUGAUGUGAGUCUCCAUUCCCAUUCAUGCUGAAAAGUUUAUCCUUGGUUAAUCUUCAAUGGAGUAUGGACUUUGUGGGCACAAGGCAUUUCUUUGAAGUUGAUUCCUAUCAUUCCAUGCAUGGACGUGUCAAUGAUGGGUCAAGAGCGCUCAACUUCUACAGAAUUGUUGGUUGGAUGCACCGAAUUAUUGAUCAGUAGGAAUUUGUAAUCUGAUUUAUCUUCUCAUUUUCACUUUGUGUAUGUUUUUGCACGAAUUGGGAUGAUUUUGGGAUGAUUUUGUAAUGAGGA